AAAUAGACAUGAAACAAGAUAACCCAAGAACACAUUUGUUUUCCUUGUAACAGGGAUGCGUUAAGUUCAUUAUUCAGAGGACUUUGAUUACCCUUUUCAAAGAUUUUUGGGUGACAGUGAUCCAGGAUGAAGGUCCUUUGACUAUACAUUUCAGCGUUCAAUUGAGGGUUGGAAGCAAUCAGAAGACUGGAAGCAAUUUACUAAUAAGAGAACAUGCCCUACAGCUCUGGCCUGUGAAAAGAGUUUCAGAAUCACGAUGUAGCCACAAGUCAAAUUCUAGAAAGAAUUAAUGGCACAUCUCAUAGUUCUUUCAUUUGCUGGCUGAUUCAUUCCAGGGUGGUUUUGAGGACAGAAUGAAGCAAGAUGAAAAACAGCACUUUGAAAAUGGAGUGUGUGGUAUUCAUCUUAGAUACACUUUUAGAGAAGAAGAAAUGUGUCUCAGAAAAAGGACCUCUUCUGACUCAAAUUUAGCUUACAUCCCCUUCUCAACCAUAUCCCAGGUGAUAAAAUAUGACACCCAGGUAAGCAGUGGCCUUGUGGACUCUGAAGAAGUUCUUAACGUGUCCACGGCACAUUCUCAUUUUGUCUGGCUCUAAACUACUGUCUCAAGAAAGCUGCAAAUAUUUGAAAGUAACAAUAAAGUGUUAACAGUAAU
rnacentral:lncRNA from 10 species